GACGAACGCUGGCGGCGUGCUUAACACAUGCAAGUCGAACGGAAAGGCCUGCUUUCCCUUGUGGAUUGCGGGUACUCGAGUGGCGAACGGGUGAGUAACACGUGAGUGAUCUGCCCCCAACUUGGGUAUAAGCCUGGGAAACUGGGUCUAAUUCCCGAUAGGACUGCAGGGUGGUGCCUGUGGUGGAAAACGAUUUUCUAGUGGUUGGGGAUGAGCUCGCGGCCUAUCAGCUUGUUGGUGGGGUAAUGGCCUACCAAGGCGGCGACGGGUAGCCGGCCUGAGAGGGUGGACGGCCACAUUGGGACUGAGAUACGGCACAGACGCCUACGGGAGGCAGCAGUGGGGAAUAUUGCACAAUGGGCGGAAGCCUGAUGCAGCGACGCCGCGUGGGGGAUGACGGCCUUCGGGUUGUAAACUCCUUUCGACCGCGAGGAAGCCACCUGGUUGGAAGGGUGGUGACGGUAGUGGUAGAAGAAGCACCGGCUAACUACGUG
rnacentral:rRNA from 1 species